CUGCGGCAGCCAUCUUUGUUGAUGUGUCAGCUCUUAGCUGCGCUCGGGAGCUGCCGCAGGAGGAGCAGGAGGAGGAGGAGGAAAGAGGGGGGGACCCCGCCGCAGCCAUGGAGGAGCUGCCGCCGCUGCUGCCGCCCUGGCUCCCACCCUCCUAACCAGCGGAUUCCUAAAACGGAAGGAUGGAAGAGCGUUUACCAGAAAUGCAGCGCAUAUUGGAGCCAGUCAGCCUCUCAAAGGAAGACAAUACACCUUCCGGCUCAUCAAGUAAUGAGAGCACAAGCAAGACGUCUGAAGUGAAGGACUGCUCAGAUGUUGGUUAUACUGGUGAUGAGGAUUCCAGCUUGGAAAGGGAACCUAAAUCGUUGGCAUCAAACUACAAUGUAACAGUUACUGACAUAAGAGGGGAUGGAGCCAUAACUGAAGCACUGGAGCUGCCGCUUUCACCUGAUUGUAGUGAAGGUGGGGACUGCUGUGCUAAUACAUGUUCUGAAAGACAAGUGGAAGACUCUGUGAAUGCAGAACAUUUGCCUGGUGAAGAUUUUGAACAACAGGUUUCAAGAAGUAAUGGCACAGAACAAUCCCUAAUGGAAAUACUGCAGGAGCUAAGGGAGGAGUCUGACUUCACGAAAAAAUCUAGCAAUAGAAUCUAUUCAGAAAGCCCUUAUGACACAGACUGCACCAAGAAACUUAUUUCCACAAUACAACAAUCAUCAACACAGGAGGCUUUGCUAGAAGAAAUAGAAUCUGAACUAUUAUCUACAGAUUUUACGAAAGAGCGUAAACUCCCAAAUGGAAUGAGGAAGGGUGAACACGCCUUGGCGACAUUUGAAAAAUGUGUGCAAGAUAAAUACCUCCAACAGGAGCAAACUAUAAAGAAAUUGAUUAAAGAAAACAAAAAGCAUCAGGAACUGAUUUUGGAUAUUUGUUCAGAAAAGGACAGGUUAAAAGAUGAAUUGAAAAAACGAACAGAAACAGAAAAGCAGCAUCUCAACAUUAUUAAACAGUUAGAAUCAAGAAUAGAAGAGCUUAAAAAAGAAGUUAAAACUGCUAAAGACAAACUUGUAACACAAGAUGCUGCAGUCAAAAAUACUAUUCAGCAAUUGCAUAAAGAGAUGGCAUUUCGUAUGGACCAGGCAAACAAAAAAUGUGAAGAGGCACGCCAAGAAAAAGAAACUAUGGUGAUGAAGUAUGUUCGAGGAGAAAAAGAGUCUCUAGAUCUCCGAAAGGAAAAGGAGUUACUGGAGAGAAGACUAAGAGAUGCAAAUAAAGAAAUUGAAAAGCACGUGAAUAAAAUCAAGCAACUUUCUCAGGAAAAAGGAAGAUUGCACCAGCUCUAUGAAACCAAGGAAGGUGAAGCCACUAGAUUCAACCGAGAAAUAGAAAAAUUAAAAGAAGAAAUCAGUUCUCAUACCAUCAAAGUAAAAUGGGCCCAAAACAAAUUGAAAACUGAAAUGGAUUCACACAAGGAAACCAAAGAUCGACUCAAAGAUGCAACCACAAAGUUAACUCAAGCAAAAGAGGAGGGAGACCAAAUACGGAAAAACUGCCAAGAAAUGAUAAAAACAUAUCAAGUAGGCAUACUUUCUCAUGAGGAGUCAGAAGAAAUUAAAUCAAAUGAAUUGGAUGCAAAGCUCCGAGUAACAAAGGGAGAACUAGAAAAACAAAUGCAGGAAAAGUCUGAGCAGCUGGAGGUACACUAUGCCAAAAUAAAAGAACUUGAGGACCUGAAGAGAACAUUUAAAGAGGGUAUGGAUGAGCUGCGCACACUAAGAACAAAGGUAAAGUGUCUGGAGGAUGAACGGUUGAGAACAGAAGAUGAAUUAUCAAAGUACAAAGAAAUUAUUAAUCGGCAGAAGGCCGAGAUUCAGAAUUUACUGGAUAGAGUGAAAAUUGUAGAUAAGCUGCAGGAGCAACAUCAAAGAGAUGAACAAGAAAUCGACACCUUGAAGGAAGAACUGGACAGUCUGAACUCUCUGAUUACUGAUCUCCAAAAGGACAUUGAAGGCAGUCGGAAAAGAGAAUCUGAGCUGCUUGUAUUCACUGAAAAACUAACUAGUAAGAAUGCACAGCUGCAGUCUGAAACCAACUUCUUACAGUCCCAGCUCGAUAAGCUUACCUACAAUGAAAGAGAGUUACAGAGUCAGCUGGAACAUGUGAGACAGACUAAAGAUGAUCUGGCAAACAAACUGCAAAAGGAGGAAGAGCUACGCAAACAUGAAGUCCAGACCCUGCAGACAGAGUUGGCUUCUCAACAGAAAGUACAAACAGCACUGAACACCCAAGUAGAUGAAUUAAAAGACGAGUUAGUUACUCAAAAGCGUAAACAUGUGGCAAAUCUUAAAGACCUCACCAAGCAACUUCAGCAAGCACGAAGGAAAUUGGAUCAUAUUGAAAAUGGUGGCUGUGAUAAAGAAGUUAGCAGUAUGGGGAGUCGUUCCAGCUCAUCAGGGUCCCUUAACGCUCGAAGCAGCAACGAAGAUCGCUCGCCUGAGAAUACUGGAUCUUCAGGAGCUGUGGAUAGCUUCCCAGAAGUGGACAAGGCUGUCCUGAUUGAGAGAAUAGUAAGACUACAGAAGGCUCAUGCUCGGAAAAAUGAAAAGAUGGAAUUCAUGGAAGAUCACAUUAAGCAACUGGUGGAGGAAAUCAGGAAAAAACCAAAAUUAUUCAGAGUUACGUUUUGCGGGAAGAAGCUGGCACGCUGUCCUCAGAAGCCUCUGACUUUAACAAAGUCCAUUUGAGCAGGCGCGGUGGCAUCAUGGCAUCCCUGUACACAUCGCAUCCAGCAGACAGUGGGCUCACGUUAGAACUCUCUCUGGAGAUAAAUAGGAAGCUACAGGCUGUGCUAGAGGAUACUUUAUUAAAAAAUAUUACACUGAAAGAAAACCUGCAGACACUAGGAACAGAAAUAGAACGGCUUAUUAAGCACCAGCAUGAAUUGGAACAGAGGAUGAAGAAAGUGUAACAAACUAUGGAACAGUCAGAACAAAGAAACAGGUGCUGCAGACUGUCAUUUUGAAGUUUCUCCUGUAAACUGAGUGUCAACCAAUGGCAGGGCCUAAUCCUGCAAACCUUUAACCACACCAAUUGUCCUUCCGGACAUGAGAGGCUCUGUAGGAUCAAGUGUGAAGUUUGUUUUGCCUCAGCCAUUGAUGAACUUUACUAUAGGCUACAUUCUUAGAACUCUUCUCUGAAAUUAAGGCAUCCAGAGGCUUUGCAGUGUGCACUGCAUGUAGAGUUCAUUUCAGUGAGAUUUUAAUUUCUGCACUGUGCAAUUAAGCAGCCUGCUAAUGAUAAAGCUUGUGGGGAGGGGGGGGGAACCAAAUUGAUUUGCUGUGGAACAUAUCAAGUGCUACUGAGCUUCCAGGGCUUUCAGAAUCUUCUUCCCUACUCUAUAAGUGUUUGAUAUAUUUAAGUUGAUCAAGCAAUUAACAUAUGCAUGGGAAAGGGGCUUUAUAAUUAACUUUUGUAAAAAUAAUUAAGGACAUGAUGCAUAUUUUACCAUUGGACAAAAGCUUAAUGGCUUCCCUGGAAACGUAAUAUGAAUUGACUUUUUCGGGGGGGGGAAGAGGUGGGAAAACUAGCAAGAAAUUAGAAUGAGAAACUUCUGCUGUUGAUACUAGGCAUUUUCAGUUCUAUCAGACUAUCAACUCACCAAGUUUUUCAUAAAAUCCAGAUCUCAAGACAUAUGAAUCUGAAUAACUGAACUCAGGUAGAUUUUGUAAAAUAAGUUUGAUUUUUUCAAUAUAAAUUAACACAAUUUUUAAAGUAUGUGAGUUAAGUUGUCCAUUAUUUAUAUACGUACUCCCUUAUUCCAAGAUAUUCCAAUCCAUUAACCCCCCCCCCCCAUUAUGUUUAGUCAUCUUAAUUGUAAGUAUAGUAAAACCAGCUAGUAAAACUGACCAUAAGGUAUAUUUAAAUGGUGAAUUGCAAUUUAUUGGUGGAACUGUAGAAGCUGUACAAAAAUCAGACUCAACUUUACUAAUAUGAAUUAAAGUCUGUCAAAAUGAUGUAAUGGUGACCAUAAUUUAAAAUUUCAGUUAAUAUCCCCACUCUUCAUUCACAAAGUGAUGGGGGAAUAACAAGAAUGGUGUCGCCUUGAGGCUGAGUCAUAAUAUUUUCUAGAGUUUAAUACUAGAAAAAGAUAACUCAGAUGGACUGGAAUGGUUCCACUCCUACAGUAAAUGUGUAUUUUAUGAAAUUAGUACCCAUGUAACUAAAAUGCCCAAGUCAGACCAGUUCAUCUUGUAAAUAUAUGUUUAGGGUUUAUACUGUAUUUAUUAAAUAUUUGCACUUCCUAUUCUCAUGAAAAGUAUUUAGUGCACAUGUACAAACACUCCACAAUUUAACAUUAGCCAUUUUAAUUCAAAAGGCCACUUAUUUAAAACCUUAUUGCAGUGUUGUCCAUUAAUCUUUUAAAUGUUUCUCAUACGACUCACCUCCUACCCACUUGAUUCAUGUGCAAACUGAGCUCUGAUCUGCAAACACAGGGUAAAAGUUACCAAGGGAUCUAAGUUACGUAGGUGCCUACAUAUUGUCAAAAGCCCCUAAGUCACUUUAGCUCCUCUGAAAGUUUUACCCAUGAGUGCUUAACUUGAUCUAGGAGAAUAAUUCUGAUUGUCAGGGAGAUUUAUUCCUGCAUGUAAAGUUAAGCAAGGUGUGUAAGUGGAUGUAGGAUCACGGCCUGGUCUGCUUAGAGUUCCUUAUGAGGCCUGAAUAACUCAUCUUUUACUUUUUUUUUUUUUUUAAUUGAGCAUUUAUUUGGAAGAAGGUAAAAGGUAUUGAUUUAAAACUUGGAGGAGAGUUGGGGAAAAUGUGCCCCAACUGUGGCUCAACCUUAUUACAGUUUCUUUUUUAAAUACUUUUUUCCCCCCCAAGACCUAAGAACAAAUGAGGCCAGUCCUGCAACCUUGUGAUGAAAGCUUAGCCAGUCUGGUUCAGGAUUACCUCGCCUUCAUUCCUAGGAGGGGAAGUGGGUAGGAAACUUUGUUAACCUCUUAAGGAGAAAAUCCUAGUUCCAUUGAUUUCAAUGGGAGUUGUGCCAGUGGGUGAAAUUCUGGCCCCUCUUGAAGUCAGAGUGGACUAGUAAGUUUGUCUGACUGAAUUAGACCCCAAAGUGUUCAGGAACAAAGGUCACAUUUUCCAAAUAACAGAACUUAGUUUUCAUACCUACGUGUACCAGAUCCAUUUUCAUGCUUUCA